ensembl:piRNA 21ur-12837 ncRNA
UUGUACACUGUUAAAUACAUU